AUACGGAGGGUGCAAGCGUUAAUCGGAUUUACUGGGCGUAAAGCGUGCGUAGGCGGCUUGGUAAGUCAGAUGUGAAAGCCCCGGGCUCAACCUGGGAACUGCAUUUGAUACUGACAGGCUAGAGUAUGGGAGAGGGAAGUGGAAUUCCGCAUGUAGCGGUGAAAUGCGUAGAUAUGCGGAGGAACACCAGUGGCUAAGGCGACUUCCUGGACCAAUACUGACGCUGAGGUACGAAAGCGUGGGGAGCAAACAGGAUUAGAAACCCUGGUAGUCC
rnacentral:rRNA from 1 species